rnacentral:rRNA from 1 species
GAUGAACGCUAGCGGCAGGCCUAAUACAUGCAAGUCGAACGAGAUUAAGAGGCUUGCUUCUUAUGAAAGUGGCGCACGGGUGCGUAACGCGUAUGCAACCUACCUUAAUCAGGGGGAUAGCCCGAAGAAAUUCGGAUUAAGACCGCAUAAAAACACAGGAUAGCAUUAUCCAAUGUUCAAAUAUUUAUAGGAUUAAGAUGGGCAUGCGUGUCAUUAGCUAGUUGGCGGGGUAACGGCACACCAAGGCGACGAUGACUAGGGGAUCUGAGAGGAUGACCCCCCACACUGGUACUGAGACACGGACCAGACUCCUACGGGAGGCAGCAGUAAGGAAUAUUGGUCAAUGGAGGGAACUCUGAACCAGCCAUGCCGCGUGCAGGAAGACAGCCCUCUGGGUCGUAAACUGCUUUUAUUCGGGAAUAAACCUUUCUACGUGUAGGAAGCUGAAUGUACCGAAGGAAUAAGGAUCGGCUAACUCCGUG